rnacentral:rRNA from 1 species
AUGAGUUAUUUUCCUUGGUUAACAAUACUUGUUGUUUUGCCGAUAUUUGCAGGUUCAUUAAUUUUCUUUUUACCUCGUAAGGGAAACAAAGUCGUUAGGUGGUAUACUAUAUCUAUUUGUUUAUUAGAAUUCCUUCUGAUGACUUAUGCGUUCUGUUAUCAUUUCCAACUGGAGGAUCCCUUAAUCCAAUUAAAGGAGGAUUAUAAAUGGAUAGAUGUCUUCGAUUUCCACUGGAGAUUGGGAAUCGAUGGACUUUCAUUAGGAUCUAUUUUAUAG